rnacentral:rRNA from 1 species
AAUGUAGCGUAAUCAAUAGCCAAUUAAUUGUUGGCCGGUAUGAAUGGCGUCACGAAGGCCCCACUGUCUUAAGAGGACUCUCCAUGAAAUUGAAUUCGUAGUGAAGAUGCUACGUCCAUAUUGUAAGACGAAAAGACCCCAUUGAGCUUUACUAAAGACUUGCAUGGCUCAAAAUAAUUUGACUUAAAUAAAGAGUUUAGAUAAUGUGGGACCCGUUUCUGGUUAAUGAAACACCACUCUUUUAUUUUAAGAGAGCUAACAUUACAGGGAUAGUGUAAGUUGGAUAGUUUGGUUGGGGCGACCACCUUUUAAAAGGUAACGAAGGUGAGCUUAAGGUCCGUAGUUAAUAGCCGGUGGCCUGACUGCAAGGGGGACGUCUCGAGCAGACACGUCCUUAGGGAUGUGGACUAUAGUGACCCGUCAUCUUAGUGUGGAAUAGUUGACGAUCAACGAAUAA